rnacentral:sRNA from 21 species
GUGAACUACCACUGAGCUGAAGACGCAGUGGCUUCUUCGGAAAUCACUGAAGACUUGGUUCAGUAACUUCUUCGGAAGUCUGAGUUCACCAGACUCAGCCCCAGAAAUGGGAGCUCCGUUCGAUAGGUCAUGACACCUGCGGUUGACGCAUCAGACCGCUGCUCUGUC